rnacentral:misc_RNA from 1 species
AAAUUUGUAGUUUAAUUUGAUAGUCCACGAUAAGAUUUACUUGAAUUAAAAAAUUUAUAUAUUGUUGUAUAUUUUAAAAUAAAAUUUAUUAUUAUUAAUAUUUAAUAAAAUAAUAAUUCAAAUCAAAAUGUGGUGUAUUUUUGAAUUUAUGAAUUAUAAUAAAUUUAAUUUUUGGAUAAUUACAAUUUUAAAAAUUAAUUUGAAAGAGGAUUUAAUAGUAAAUUUAAUAAAAUUGAUUAAAUUGAAAUUAGUUUUGAAAAGUGUACAAAUUGCCCGUCAGUUUCAUUUAUGGAAUAAGUCAGGAUUUAAUAGUAAAUUUAAUAAAAUUGAUUAAAUUGAAAUUAGUUUUGAAAAGUGUACAAAUUGCCCGUCAGUUUCAUUUAUGGAAUAAGUCGUAA